GCUUCCUUGGUGUAGUUGGUUAUCACGUGGGUCUCAUAUCAAACAUAUGAUUUGGCAACAUGCCAGAGCGAUCCCAAGGCCGCCAGUUCGAGUCUGGCAGGGAGCA